AACGCACCUUGCGCUCCUUGGUAUUCCGAGGAGCAUGCCUGUUUGAGUGUCAUGGAAUUCUCAACCUUUGAAAGCAUUUUCUUAACGGAUUGUUUUCAGGGGCUUGGACUUGGAGGUCGUGUCGGCUUGCAAAAGGGUCGACUCCUCUGAAACAUAUCAGCGCGAACCUUUUACGGACCGCCUUCGGUGUGAUAAACGUCUACGCCGUGGUCGUGAAGUAUGACAAUGUUCGUGCUUCCAAUCGUCUCUUCGCGAGACAGAACUUCUUUUGACAAUCUGACCUCAAAUCAGGUAGGACUACCCGCUGAACUUAA
rnacentral:misc_RNA from 1 species